rfam:Gossypium hirsutum cultivar TM-1 chromosome 19, whole genome shotgun sequence
UGUUAAAAAUUUAAUUCAUUUUUACAGUUAAAAAUUAGUAUAGCUGAUGAAAUAAUUAAAUAGCUACACGUGGCGUGUCACAUGUAUCUUAUGCUGACAUGUAUGAGUCAUUUUUUAACAGUAAAAAUAGAUAGAAUUUUUAACA